rnacentral:lncRNA from 1 species
CAUUAUUUCCUCUCUCUUAUUUUACUUUCAUCACUCUCUCUUCUCCCUCCCCCAAGCCACCGGCUGCCUGUCGCUACUGCCGGAAAUCGCCCACCGGCGGCGGCUGACCUCCAAUCCGACCUAAAAUUUUACUAUGUAAUCUCCACCACCUGCUCUUUCCAUAUCUUCAAACCAAAUCCUUCAGAAAACUCUCAAGCUCCGUGAAUCUUUGAUCUAAGAAACUUUCCCGUCACUUUUUCGCCCAAGUUAUUGAAGUUCUGGCUACUACCACCCAAUAAUACAUACAUCAACAGAUAGGUCUCCUCAAGACCUAGCUAUUGAUGUCAAUUCUACCUCAAAAAUCCAUCCUUCUUGGUACACCACCAUUUUUCCGGCCAUUUGAAUUAAAAUGGUAAAAUACUUUAUUUUUCGUGGUUGAUUUUUAUUUUUUAUUUUUAAUUUUCAGAUUUUUAUUUUUGUUUAUUAUUUAUUUUAGCAUUAUUUUUUGAAGUUUUAAAUAUUAAAUUUUUUGUUUAUAGAUUUUAAUCUGUAUAGUCGAUUGAAGAUAUGUCGUCAAUUAGUUCUUCAGGUUCGAAUGAUAGAACAUCAUGAAUAUAUAUAUAUAUAUAUAUAUAUAUAUAUAUUUCAGUUGAUAUUAAGUGCUUGAACGUCUAGUUGAUAUUCAGUUUUACUCGUAUUUUCAAUUCCUUUUGUUUGGUGUCAUGUCUGAUUAGACUGCCUUGAAUCAUUGUUAGAAUAGGAUUAAGGAUUGGUUAUAGCUGCUUAAUUAUAAAUUAGUUUUGUUAAUUAGGCUUGAACAGAUUUUAGAAUCUGUCAUUUGAAUUAGGGCAGUAAUUUCAGAAGUUUCAGGGGUACUUUGGGAUUUAAAAAAAAGAAUAAAAAUAAUUAGUUAAAUAUUGUGUCCAGUAGUGCUAAUGUAACAUUAAAUAACGAAUUGUUUAAUACAUAGUGGGGACAAUACAUAAUUAUGUAAAGAGUGGGUAACAAUGUGAUGAUGUUCAGUUUUACUCGUAUUUUCAACUCAUUUUGUUUGGUGCGAUGUCUGACUAAACUGCCUUGAAUUGUUGUUUGAGUUUGAUUAAGAAUUGGUUAUAGUUGCUAUAUUUUGGUUAAUUGAUUUGGGUGACUUUAUUAUAGCUGAUAGGGGUAGAGUAGUAAUUUUCAGUAAUUUCGGAGGGUAUUUUUGAAAUAUAAAAUUGAGAUAUUUAUUAAAUUUAAGUGCUUUAUCUACUAGAUUAAAGUAUUAUUAGAAUAAUAUAGUGGGGGACAAGAAAUAAUUAUGUAAAGAGGGGGUAAUAAUGUGGUCUUCUUUGACUAUUGAAAAGGGGGGACUGUGGGACCCGUGUUGAUUGCUUUUUUACUUAAUUAAAAUCAGAAAUAGUAUAGAUAAUAAUAAAAGGUUAAAAAGUUACAUAGUAGAAGAAUAUUGGGCUGGAAAAGUAAAAAGGGUAAAAGGGUUAGUAAUAAUAGUUUAAAACUAAAAGUUAAUAGGUAAAAGAAUAGAGGAAAGAGUCUUGCUUUGGAUAUAUAAUAUGACUCAUUUAACACUUAAAAAGGGACUAGAUUUUUGAGGACGAAAAAAUAAGUUCAGUAUUUUGAGAAAUAGAAAACAAAAGGAAUUUACUUCCCUUGAUGGUGAAAGAUCAAUAAUUGUUUCUUCUUCCUCUGAUAUAGUAGUUGGUAUUUUUCUGGAAUCUUAUUGGGUCCAAGUCUCGUUUAUUUCUAGUCAUCGCCUGGGGUAUUUGAUGUAGUUGUUUGCUGCUGUUGCUGUGUAUUGCUACUGCUAUCCUGCUGAUCACUCCUCUUCUUCUUUUGCUUCUAAUAUCAGGUACACAACUGGUACACCUUGUAAGUUGAUAACAUGAAGCAUGAAUACAAAUGAAAAGUUGAAGUUUUAAUUUUAUCUACUUUUGUUACUGAAUGUAUUUAGGCCACUCUAUAUACUAUUGUUAUAUAAGUUUCUGCCAUGUUCGUAUGACAGGACAACUUGUAGUGAUGUACUAAAUAAUAUUCUAUUUUAAUUUGGUUAUUAAGUAAUAUAUGUUUAAGCAUGUUCAUUACUGUCAAACUGUUUUGAUGUUGUCAAUAGUAGGUUAAUCGCGAACAUGUAGUUUAAUCUAUUUAAGGUUUUAAUUUGAAUUAACUUCGUGAAUUAGACAUUAAGGCAUGCUUUGAGGUCAAACAAGGCGAGUUAACUAUUAAGUUUAAUAGCUUUCUCAUAAGCUUUGGUAAUUAUGAUUAAAUUUAGUUUCAAAUAGUUGUAAAUAAUUAAUUCCAAUAGUUCUUUUUUACAAUACGAG